ACUGACAAACAGGAACUCGACACUUCAGUGAAACAGUAGACCGUUAACAAAGUAGGCUAUCAAAAACCGUUAACUACACCGUUUUUACUGCGUAUAAUGACGUCAAACUUGGCAAAUUACAUAAUGUUGCUAAAAGUUUGUGUAAUGUAUUGUUUUGUUUUAUUGUUAGUAAAAUAACGGACAUGCCAAACAGGUUGUCAGUAUUCCACAGUGAAUAUAAUUAAACGUCUUCGAUAACACGUAAUCCUAAAGUUUUGCAAACAUUCAAAAAGAAAUUUACCUUUCAAACAUCGCUGGAGCUCUCUGAAAUCCUUCAUUCUGGGGAUUAUCCCGCUGUCGUCGCGAAUCUUUCAAUAUCCCUCCCUUCUCUCCAUUCUCCCGUUCGCCCGUUCACCAGCAAAGUUUGUCUGCUCCUGAAACAUUUUUCAUCAUUUCCGGAUUCCGAAAAGACUCGCACAACCACUACCAGCUGCAGCUGAACGAUGCCUUCAGGGUCCUGCUGGCUGCCAUCGAAAAGAACCGUGCGGGAUGUUCCUUCACAAAAGCGACACACUCCCACCGCACAAAAUGAUCUGAUAUGGAGACUUUUUUUUUCUACUGUCAAGUUCAAACAGCUGGCAGAAGACAGCUAGACUUUAUAGCAUGAUUACCAGGAUUACUCUGCGAGCUGUAUAAAACAUGACAAAAUAACCCAGCAUUUCAAAGACGUAGCUAUCAGAACUCGUUGAUGCGUUAUUUCUCCAAAGCUCCGAAAAGUCUAUUUUUACAGUAGGCUACAGUCCGUUCAUUCGAGAAAAAAAAGCUUGAUCUGCGUUAAAUUUGUACCUGAAAUUUACUCGCAUACCCUACAUGCCAACGACGGUGUGUGUUUUCACUUUAAAGGGGGGUCAGUAAGGAUGUAGGCUUAACAAAUUGUGUUGCACGAUUUAUAUAUCACAGUUUUUCCUUUAUUUUUAAUUUUUUUUAAAGUUAUUAUUUUACCUAUGUAUUACUGUUUUUUAUGACUGAAAUAAAAGGUGAAAAAAGAA